rnacentral:lncRNA from 1 species
AGACAAGCCUGUGUGAGCUGGGGAGCCAGGCUCCUUCUAGAGGAGAACCUAUCUCACCUAUGCAAAGCAAAGCACUCAUUCUAAUUGCUGUUUGAGAUUGGGUCUCUGCAGGAAAUUGCCUGCUGUGUAGCGGCUACCUUUCUGUGUGUUCUGUGUGGAAUCACAAGGGCUAGAAAAUUCCAUCUCCCAGACUCCUCUGCUACUGGUUCUAGAAUAGAUCAUGCCCAAGGGCUGCCCUCAUGGGAAAAGAGUGGGUAAUCUACAGCUGGGUAGCAAAAGAUCAGAUGUUAACUCUGAGGAGCAAAUGGACUGAUCGUGCCACCAAACAGAAGAACUGGUCAAGGCUAUGUAUGUAUCUUCUCUGGAGUAUGGAGCUCAACUUUGAAAAUGAAUGAGAAGGAAAACCAAGACACUCAAGUAACUAAAGAGGAAAAAGAAAGUGACGUCUUACCCUAAUAUGAGUUUAUGAAGAAGGAAACUCUUUUCUCAUAAAGAAGGUGUGAGACCACAUGUCCUAUUCAUACUGCGUGCAAAUGAAUGAAGAAUGAUCUCCCACCCAUACAUACUGAGUGCAAAUGAAUGAAGAAUACUGGUGCUCUCCCAGUCAACUAAACUCCAUCCAGACGCAUACACCAAUGCAAUUUCAAACAAGUUGCCAAAUAAGAUGCAUAUAGCGCUCAAUGUCUAUUGAAUGGAUGCAUAAAACCCUAUGAGAAUAAAACUUCCCUUAUCC